GGCGACGUAGCUCAGUUGGUAGAGCAGAGGACUGAAAAUCCUUGUGUCACUGGUUCAAUUCCAGUCGUUGCCA
rnacentral:tRNA from 1 species